CAAACAAAGAGUGCCAUAGGAUUAGUGACUACGGGUAAGCAAAUAAUAAAAAAAAACCAAUAAAUUGAAAACGUAAUUAUACCUUUGGCUGAGCUAUUCCAAGACUUUCGAACAAUUCAGGAUGUUUAAUUGGAAGUUCAAUGACCUGCAAAAAUGAACAUAUAUCAUUUAGACAAGUUGAAGAAUGUCCUGAGUAUUAUCACAUAGAGACAAGCCACACUCGACAAAUACAGCUAGCAGAGAAUCUAAAUUCAAGCCAAAUUUGAAACACGGACUGACGUUGACCAGUGAAUCUUCUUCCUCAAGAAGGAUACAAUCUUAUCACCUACUAGAAGAGCUCUUAGUUAUCUAAGUAAUGUAACAUCUAUAAGAAGAUAAGUAACAGUUGGAAUAUGAAAACAACUUAAUCCUUCUAAUAACAUAUAAACCAAAAUGCAGUUCAAAGAAAAGAAAAUAAGUCAAAGUUGAACUCUGGAAGAGAGAUGCUGUCAAGAUAUUGAUGCAUAUGGGAUUGUGGAUUAAAUGAAAAGAGGGGGGAGAAGAAUAAGAAAGAUAAAGGCAAAACUGAAAAGGGUAUGCCUGCAAGUUAUGUUUAAUCUGAUCUUUUAUAUUCAUCCAGACAAUUUUUGUAAGAAUGAAGACAUGACAAGUAAUUAGAUAUAUGAGUUUAGCUUAUACCAUGAGACCUAUACAGGUAGAUAACCGGAAAUGAAAGCCAGGUGGCAUAACAGUACAAAAGUAAUACAACAAAAACGCAAACUAAAAUAGACACAAGUAUCGUGCAAAGAAUCUAAAUUCAAGAGUAAGAAUGUGCAGAAGAAAACCUCUUUGAUUUCUUUAAUCUGCUGAUCCAGACCACCAAUCAUAUCAUAUGUAGAAUCUGGAACCUUCUCCACUUUCAUCAGAUUGACAAGAGGAUCAACUUUGCUUGGCAGUACUAAAUGAAGAACAUAGCUGUCAUUGCGGAGAGCCACACGUGUAGAUGGUGUGAUCUUUGUAAUAUCAAUGUUCUUAUCGAUAUCAACCACAUAUUUCCCUUCCGGAUGAACCUGAAAACAAAGCAGGUCAAAAAUUUGUCAGAUGUUGUUAUCGACUUGCAGACAGAAUGUUAACUAUUUCACUGUUUGUUAAAACACACAGCCACUUACCUUAACCAAAACCUUGUUCUUUCCCAUGACGUUGACAACCUCACCGACAUAGGACCCAGGCUCCUGAAGAAGCUGCAGUUCUUCCCUGAGCAUUCUCACUGUUCAAAACACAUAAACAAUCAAUCCAAUAACUCAGUUAAGUAACACACUAACAUACCAAAUUAAGCAAAAUCUAUAUAACCAAAGAUCCCAAAAGGUACAACAUCUUCUAGAAUAAUUCUAGUGCACUUGUUUACUCAUCUUGUUCACCAAGAUUUACACUUUACCCCGAAAUCAAAUAUUUGCCCUAAUUUUAUCCCAACAGAAAGCAGAAGCCAGCACCUUUUCACAUUCAAUCAACAAUUGCUAAGAACCCCAUCAAACUAUAUCAGCUAGCCCUAAACCCAAACCAAACUAAACCUAAAAUUACCCUAAAUUGAGAACCCAGUACCAAUCGGAACAAACCCUAACCAGUCCAAUUGAAAUUCCUAUAACCAAUAACCAGUUACUAGGGUUAGGGAUUCGAAAAAUUGAAUUCCCAAUUGGAAUUAGAGCCUCACCUCUGGAAUUGAGCUCGUUACGCUGAGCCUCGAGUCGAUUGAGAUUGUGGGUCUUCUGGCGGACCUGGAGCUGGAGCUCGUGAAUGUGUUGGAGGUAGUACGGCCGGAGCCCAUCGCCGAGUUUGGAGGCGGCGAGCUUGGACGAGCAGGUCUCCUCCGGCACGGCAUCGAUGGGCUUGGUCUCGGCGGCGACUGCAGCCAUCGUGAUCAAGCAAAGCCCUAAACUUUGGAAUCGGAAUUUGUGAGAUUGGCGAUUUGGGGGUGUGAGGAGUUUGAGAGAAGAGAGAUGUCGUGUGUGUCGUUUUGAGUUGGAAAACAAAGGUGAGGGGAGGUGUGUUUUAUUUAUGGGGGAGGGUUUCUUUUUGGUUAAGUUAGCUUUGUAAGGGUAGGAGAUGGAUUAGAGGAUAAUGGGCACAUAUUAGGAAUUACUGCAAAUUUUAGGAUUUCUGUUCUUUUGUUUAAAUUGAAUUGCUAUUUUCUUAAGGAAGUUGCAAACAUGGAAUCCUUGUUGUGAGAUUAGUUAUUGGGGGGACAAUAAAAAUGAUAAUAUUUCAAAGGAAAAUACUUGUGUCCGGACUAGUAUAUACGUGCGUGUCCGGACUCUCUGUUAUUUACACACUUUUGGUAAUGUAAAUCAUAAUCUUAAGUGUUCAAAAAUUUGAUUAACUAAUAAAUAUCAUCUCUGUAAAAUAUCAGUGUAAAAAAAAUCGUUUGCUUAGCCGAAUGAAUCAAAUAAAUUGACGGCUAAUCAUGAGGCUGUUAACUUUCACCAUAAGUAUUCAUUUGUUUAAUACAAUCGGGUGAGCAAACGAAUUUUGUUUACAUUAAUUUUUCACAGAGAUAAUCUUUAUUGGUUAAUCCAACUUUCGAACUGUUAAAAUUAUGAUUUACAUUGUCGAAAGUAUGUAAAUAACAGAGAAUCCGGAUGUACACGUACAUACUAGUCCACAAGUAUUUUUCUAUUUCAAAUUAGUGACACUCAAGAGACGAGGGAGAUUACUAGUUGACGAGGUUUAAGGUGAUAGUUUCAUGUGUCUCAUCUUAGAUUUCGACUAAGUUUCAUUAUUAUUCUCAAUGUUCACAGCUUUUAAAUUGCAUAUAGCUUUAAUAUGUGAAUCAUACACAUUUUCUAGUGUGUCGAUUGGUGAACAACACUCUUACAGAUUUCAUUAAAGAAUCGUUGCUCAUUUCAUUAUAGAAUAACAUGUAUCACUUCUCUUUGAAUCAUUUCGACUGUCGGCAUAAGUUUCAUUCUUUUUACAUGCUUCACAAUAAUAGUAUGAACAAGUAGACAAUUUAAGAGACCUGAACUGAAGGAGUUUGGGCUGCAUUGGACUACCUAAGAAAGCCCAUUGUUCAAUAGAAGGAAGGCCCAAGAGUGGAGCCUAUAUAAUUGAGAGCAUUGCCAAACAUGGUCUUUGCGCCUAGCCCUCUGUGUGAGUCUGUUCCUCUUUUUAACAUUUUUCUUUUAGAUUUCCAAAUUAGGUUUUCUCCUCUCUCUCUGUAAUUUCUCCUCACUAUUAGAUUUUGAUUCCACCAUUGUUGUUUUGAGGGUUAGGAGGUGUGGAUUUGUGUUUCAAACUCCUUAUUGAUAUUUCGUCUUCCCACCUGUUUCCAAAUACCGCCAAAUUUUUCUAUCUCCGCAUAAAAAAAUCCCCAAAUUGAGAAGAACAAAAGCUUUGAUUUUUAGGGCAAUCUAACACAAUUAGGGUUAGGGUUUCAAUCUCAUAAGUACAGAUCACGAAAAAGAAAGCAUCUUUUUUUAGUUUUUGUUUUUGGGCUUUCGAUUAGAUAUGGAGAAGAAGAAGGUGGCUGUGCCUCUGGUUUGCCACGGCCAUUCCCGGCCGGUGGUGGAUCUGUUUUACAGUCCGGUCACUCCCGAUGGCUUCUUCCUCAUCAGUGCCAGCAAGGGUAUGUGUUCCGAUAUCGAAAGAUUCGAUCUUUUUUCGUGUGUUUGGAUUGAAUUACAUGCUUUGGGUGGUUCUAUUUUACUCUGUACAAUGCUGCGUAUAUGUAUAUGUGUAUGAUUGGGGUUUUGUUUCGUGAUAACUUAUGUAGAUUGGUUUGAAAUCGUAAUGGAGGGAUGUUUUGACUAGUCUUUGUGAUAGUAAGUUAUGGUAGAUUAAGUAAACUUGCAAUGGGAUAUGUUCUUAGGAUAUAUAGUCCAGCUGAAAGGAAAUGUUUUGGAUCAGUGGUUUCAUGUCACGUUUAGAAACCUUAGAGCUACUAGAAGUUGAACAUUUAUUGCACUAUCAGUGUACUCAACAGUAGUGAUUUUGGGAUAUUGACGAAUAAGGUGUAUUGAGUAUAUGAGGUGUUAAGAUCAUUGUUGUGUUGUUGCUCUUUAAUGGGUUGCGAUUGGAAAUCUUCUUUAAUCUGUGUAAGUUAUUUAGAUAGCGAACUGAUAUAGAAGUUUUUGAUGCUUGUGUUGUUAGAUUCUAGUCCCAUGCUGAGAAAUGGUGAGACUGGAGAUUGGAUUGGAACCUUCGAAGGACAUAAGGGUGCAGUCUGGAGCUGCUGUUUGGAUACUAAUGCCCUAAGGGCUGCCACCGCUUCCGCAGAUUUCUCUGCGUAUGGAUUUAUCUUUUGAUUUCCCAGAUUUCUCUGCGAGUUGAAAAUGAAAACCUUAAUUCUGUUUCUUAAGUAUGUUAUUUUUGCAUGCAGUAAAGUUUGGGAUGCGUUAACAGGAGAUGUUCUACACUCUUUUGAACAUAAGCACAUUGUUCGAGCAUGUGCGUUUUCAGAGGUAAGCUCCUGUUCUUGACCUAACAGCUCUGUAGAAGUGAAAUAAACUUACAGAGUAAUCAUACAAACUGUGCUCUUUCCAUUUUCUGUAGUGUUAUCUGCUUGAAAUGUCAUGCUAAAUGUGAUAAUGUUGAAUAUUAUGUGUAAUCGACUGUGUUAAAUUCAUUUGGAGUAGCUAUCUGCCUACCUCUAAUUUGAAAAUGAUUUCCUAGUGGUUUAUGUGCUAUAUUAAGAGGGAUUCUAAUAUAGUGGUAGACUUUGAAUAUUUCUUUGGGGCUUAGUUGUUUGUUACACAUCAGCCACUAAAGUUCAUGAUAAUAUUUUGAAUCCAUCAUAGUUGGUGCAGGUUUUAAUUUCAACAGUAUAUGAGAUUUUAUGCUGGAGUUCUCCUAUAUGCCAUGCCUUUUCUUAUUUUCUUGUAUCAUAAUUCUAUUCUCUUGAUUUGGUAAUAGGAUACACACCUUUUGUUAACUGGAGGAGUAGAGAAAGUUAUCCGUAUAUACGACUUGAACAGACCAGAUGCCCCUCCAAGAGAAGUGGACAAAUCCCCUGGUUCAGUUAGAACUGCUGCAUGGCUCCACAGUGAUCAGACCAUAUUAAGUUCUUGCACUGAUAUGGGCGGUGUCAGGUAUACAUUUAUAUGAAAAUAAUUGAUGUUAUGAGGACUCAAUUGUUCUAUAUUAAGUUGCACAUAUUUCGUACUAUAAAGUGACGGGUAGUGAUUGACUGAUUGGUGAAUGUGCAGAUUGUGGGAUGUAAGAACUGGGAAAAUAGUUCAAACACUUGAUACCAAGUCAUCUGUAACAAGCUCUGAAGUCAGUCAAGAUGGUCGAUACAUCACCACUGCUGAUGGGUCUACAGUCAAGUUCUGGGAUGCAAAUUAGUAAGUUAUGAGUUAGAAUGUUCAGUAUUUUUCAGAGUUUCUGCUCAGUUAGCUUAUGCCUUUUACUUGCUUUCAGCUUUGGGUUGGUGAAGAGCUACAACAUGCCUUGCACAGUAGAAUCAGUGUCCCUGGAACCCAAGUUUGGGAAUAAGUUCAUUGCUGGUGGAGAAGACAUGUGGGUUCAUGUUUUCGAUUUCCAUACUGGUGAUGAGAUCGGUAAGUAAACUAUAACAAAAUACUUUUCUUAUUGAAUCUUCUUUGGGGUGGAUGUUGUGUGUUAAUGUCCUUGGAUUUUAUGCUGUAUUUCCAAUGCUGAAUCUUUACUCAAGCUAUUGUAUCUUGAUGCAGCCUGCAACAAGGGUCACCACGGUCCAGUGCACUGCGUUCGAUUUUCUCCAGGAGGAGAGUCCUACGCCUCUGGGUCCGAAGACGGCACCAUCCGAAUAUGGCAGACAGGCCCUUUGACUAAUGAAGAAAGUGAGGCGCAGGCAGCAAAUGGAGCUAUCGGAAAGGUGAAGCCACCCGUGGAAGAGGUCUCUCGAAAGAUUGAGGGCUUCCAAAUCUCCGACGAGGGCAAGUCCAAAGAGAAGGAAGAGGCACCGUCAGCAGCCACAGCAUCGGUGAAUGUGUGACUUUGUUCAGAGUGUCUGUCCAGAGAGUGUAUUAGCCGUUGCCCGGCACAAGUUCAGAUCUAUUCCUGGUUAAAGUACUACUUGGGUUACAUAGACAGAUGGAAACAAAUUUUUUGUACAACUUUCACUUCUGCAUUGUCGAGAUAUAUAGACUAUGUUCUUGUUACUGCUUGUUCAGACUACCUUAUAAAUGGAACUUUUCAGCUUCUUCUGGUUUAUAUUUCCUUCUAAGAAUAUGGAUCAUAACAUAUCAACAUAGCCUAAAAAUCAAUCCUUAAUUCCUAACUAGCUGACAAAGGAAGAGCAGAAUGCCAUGCUUGAAAUUAGGAUUGUAGUCUCAUUUGUGACAAUCCUAUGUGUUCAUAAUUUAAAGUUGGGCAAAUGUCAAUUUAGUACUAAUUUUAAUCAUUCAUUGUCAAAGUUGGGCAAAUGUCAAUUUAGUACUAUUCCAACGACAAUAUGUUUUAUGAGCCUAUUUGAAACCUUUUUAUGCUUAAAUAGUCAAAUUUUUAUUAAAGUCUAUUAGACUAUUUUAACAAAUUAUAUUAUUUUGAGACUAUAUUACUUCCACCGCUUAAACAUGCAUUGAGAGAAAAGACUUCACCGGAACCUCAGACUUUGGCAACUGGCCACCAGACUCCUGUCAUCGGAAUUUCUCCGGUCACCGGUAACUUGGUUACUAACCCCAGUAACUUGAUUACUGAUCCCCAAUAACUCAUAUAUUUCCCAGUCGCCGGAUUUCGGUCAUCGUAACUCGGUUACUGACCCCUAAUAAUUAGUUAGUGACGGCCUUGAACUAUUACAAUGUCACAAGUGGUUUUUUAGUAUCUUCUAAUACCUCAAUUACCAAUUAUCUUAAAAAUAAAAUCGUUUACAUCCCACCAAACUGGGAAACAUGGAAGAAGAAAUUUAUGUCCAUAGCCACUAGCUUUGUGAUAUCACACACUACAAUCACGUAUAUAUACCCACAAAAUGAGCUUCGCAUUGGGAUAUUGUCACCUACAUGUUGUGACUUGUGACUUGUGUGGAACUGUUUCGGCAUGACCACUUCCCUCUUUCAUACCCUGCCUUCUACUUUGGAUACCAUCAUAAGGCGAAACCAAAAAUUUUAAUCGAAGGGAGCUAAUGUUAGCUUGUGCUGUCAAGUUCAUCAUUUCAUAUAAAGCUUAAUUUUCUACAACCAUGACUUCGAUGACUCUAACUCUAUGAAUGUGUAGCUGUUUUAAUUUUUAUAUAUUUGUAUUUUGAAGAGAUAAUUAGCUGUUUUUGAAAGCUAUACUAUGGAGAUUGUGAGGUCGCUGCAACCAAUUUUCUGGGCAAAAGGUUCUUAAACUGCCUUUCCGCUUCAAGUCAUUUAGGCCAUUUGCUGAGGUGCACUUAUUCUAAACUAAUACUAUAUUAAUCAUUGGAGCUCAGUUUAAAUUCAUUAGAAUGUAUAUGGCUCUCUUUGUAAACCAAACAUUCACAAGUAACAAUUUUACGAUCAACAUUGUCAUGUGGUGGUUCAGGUCAAUAACAACACUGACAUGAGACUCGUACUAGAAGAUGGAUGGAUCGGCUUCAUUCUCAAUUUUCAUGCCAUAUACAUGCAAAUGCAUUUUAAGGUUGUUAGCCAUAGCUAGUACUGCACUACAAUAAUUGAUAUAGCUACCUGAUAACAGCAAAGCCACUGUGGAAUACAUCGUGUUUCCAAUUGGGUCAGAUUAUCAGUCACUACUGAACACGUUUAAUUUGCAUCUUUCGCCCAUUUCCUCACCAAUUCAGGAGACUUGACUUGUUUACAUCGUUUUGAGAAAUUAAAAUGUUUCUCACGCUCGCACAUAAAACAAGAUUCAUGUCAUAUCGAUUUACUGUAGGAGAUGAAUAUCAAAUAGUCGAUGGAUUCAUUGAACUAUUUGACGACUCGAUUUUCAUGACACAUAUAUGCAUGUGGCGGUCGCUAGUACUUGUACCUUUCUUGGUCUGGCUUAUUGAGCUCUUGUAGACAUUUUACUAUAAAUACCAAAGAAACGGAAGCAUUUCAACUCAUACUACUACCCAGCCACUUAAUCAAACCUCUCAUAUAAUUUAGCCACAUUGAACUAUGUCUCUCACCUCCGUCAUUUUAGCUUCCCAAUCCCCUCAAACCCUGAAUAAUGCCGAUACUCGACGUUCGGCUAAAUACCAUCCCAGUAUUUGGGGAGAUCGGUUUCUGUCUUAUAACAACACUAUGGUUUGUACAUCCUCGACAUUUAGCAUACAUCUGUUACAUUUUGUUAUCUGCAUGUCUGAGCCUUAUCGAUGUAUGUAUUAAUUUGUUUCUUUAACUGGCUUGUAUGUAGGAAACUAACAUGCAAGGUAAGCAACAAGUAAUCCAACAACUGAAGGAAGAAGUGAAGAGGAUGCUGAUGGCUCCGCCGGUUGAAACUGGUUUGGGAAAACUGGAGUUGAUUGAUGACAUUCAACGCUUAGGCGUGUCUUACCACUUCGAAUACGAGAUUGACCAAACUAUGCAGCAAAUUCACGAAAACCUUAAUGGCACCUAUGAUGAUGAUGACUUGCACACUUGUGCUCUUCGUUUUCGCUUGCUAAGGCAGCAUGGUUAUAAUGUUUCUUGUGGUAAUUGAGAUCUCGACAAUCCUAUUCAUUCAUUUUAUUUUGUUUUAAAUAAGGCUAAUUUUGAUGCAUUGGCAUAUGAAUAAUUAAGCAGAUAUGUUCAACAAGUUCAAAGAUUGUGAUGGGAAAUUCGACGAAUCGCUUCACCACGAUGUAGCAGGACUCCAAAGCUUGUACGAAGCCACACAUCUUAGGGUGCGAGGAGAGGAUUUUCUAGAAGAAGCACUAGCCUUCACAACCACACAUCUACAGUCGGCAGCAAAUCGUUUGAGCCCCCCGCUUUCGAAACAAGUAAGGCAUGCCUUGAAUCAGCCACUUCGGAAGGGCUUACCGAGGCUAGAAGCGAGGCACUACAUGUCUCUUCACCAGGAACUGCAUGGAUCACGUAACCAUGUUUUGCUGAGAUUUGCAAAGCUGGAUUUCAACCUGCUCCAACAAGUGCAUCAGAAAGAACUAAGUGAUAUUGCAAGGUUGAUACUAUCUGUUACCACACACAUUAGAUAGGCACCAGACAUGAAAAUUAACGUUACAUUUUUUCUCCAAUUAAUUAGAUAAAUAUGUGUGAUCAUCACUAAUUAUGUGAUUCAUCAGGUGGUGGAAGAAGUUGGACUUUGCUAGCAAGCUUCCUUUUGCAAGAGACAGAGUGAUUGAGUGCUACUUCUGGAUUUUGGGUGUCUACUUUGAACCCAAGUAUUACUUUGCUAGGAGAACCCUUACCAAAGUUAUUGCCAUGACAUCCAUUAUUGAUGACAUUUACGAUGUGUAUGGCACUCUUGAAGAACUAGAUCUCUUUACUAGAGCAAUUGAGAGGUUUGAAAUUGAUAUAUAUUUUUCUUCCCUUAUAUUAUAUUCUCAAUUUAUUCCGGACUUAAGCUUCACCACUUACCAUCGCCGUUCGUCUUCUUAUUUGCAGAUGGGACAUCUCAGCCAUGGAUGUACUGCCGGAGUAUAUGAAAUUCUGUUACGAGGCACUCUUAGAUGUUUAUGCUGAAGCAGAACAGGGGCUUGCAAGCGAGGGAAAAUCAUACCGUAUCGAUUAUGCAAAAGAAGCGGUAAUUAGUUAAUUAAGCCUCAAUUUUGCGUUUAGUAUUGUGAUUCCAAAGGUCGUUGAAGGUUAAGUAACAGUUGAUUUGCUGCAUAUAUGUCAUAGAUGAAGAGACAAGUUAGGGCAUACCAUGCUGAAGCCAAAUGGUUCCACAACAACUACACACCAACAAUGGACGAAUACAUGGAAGUAGCCCUCGUCACUUCAGCCUACUCAAUGCUAGCAACCACAUCCUUUGUUGGAAUGGGAGAUAUUGUUACUAAAGACUCUUUCGAGUGGAUCUUCAGUGACCCUAAGAUGGUAAAGGCUUCAGCAGUAGUUUGCAGACUCAUGGAUGACAUUGUAUCCCACAAGGUACUUGAAUUUGCUGCAGUAGAAAUUAUAUAUCUUAAAACACUUCCUUAGCUAAUUCUGACCUUAAUGUUCUUGGCAUGGCUAUACAGUUUGAGCAAAAGAGAGGACAUGUUGCUUCGGCCGUGGAAUGCUACAUGAUACAAUACGGUGCGACAGAAGAAGAAACCAUAAUCGAAUUUCGAAAACAAGUGAGUGAUGCAUGGAAGGACAUAAAUGAAGAGUGCCUCCACCCUACCUCUGUCAACAUGCCUCUCUUGAUGCGAGUUCUGAAUCUCACACGCGUGAUAGAUGUACUGUACAAGUCUGAAGAUGGCUACACUCAUGCUGGAACCAUACUCAAAGAUUUUGUAGCAUCUCUACUGGUAGAUCCUGUGACUGUAUAAGUGAAAACUGGGAACCUUUGUUUUAGUUCUUACAAGAUGUUUGAACUUAGUAUUGGAGUUGCAGGAGUGUAAUGUCAAAAGCAAUCCUUGUAAUCCCAACCUUUGUACGUUGGGAUCUAAUAUGUGGGUCUUAUUUUUUCAGUUGCAACUUUGAUAGUUCAUCUAAUAACGGAAAAGAAAUUCAAAGUCAUUUUGAUAAAGUAGUCUGGGGUUCACAUCCAAAACCAAUUGGCCAUGGGUGGAGUGGCCUAAACCCUUAUAAAUUCACAGGCAAGGUCCCAUAUUCCCGAUGUGGGAUUCAUAUCUCAACACAUUUUCUUUGAAUACGAACCUUUGACUUUGACAGAACAAUACGAACUCGAGCUUGUCCACGCUGAAAUCCUCCGUUGUCCACCUGCAAAACUCAAGUUAUUUUUCAUGUGUGGACUUAUUGUUGUCAGCAUGUACUUUUUCUGAGUUGGUCUUGAUUAAGUUCAUUUGGAAAUGGAAAAAUAGAAUAAGAGAUUCCGUGUAAGCAUAAGAGCUUAUGGACCACCAAAGCAUACUAGGAUAUGUAGUAAUUGGUUUUGAAUAAGAACUUAACAAGUGAGAAUAGAUAUGGAUAUGGAUCUUAGUAAAUAAACUAGACAAUAGAUCCAGCCGCGCCCUGCUGUGAUUCAAUAAUUCGAUUACUUCGGUCACUGGUUCAUAAAGAGUUCAUUCGAAAUUGUGUUUACUUUUGUUUACCUUUCCUAUACAAAUUUCAUCUACUGAUAUCCGUAGGAAAAACAGACUUGUUAGAAUCUAAAAUUAAGAUUCUCAAAAUGACUGGAGAGACUGUACCACAUGUCAAUGAAAUAAACAACUCAAAUCUCAUCAAAACCAUUUAAAUCAAGGCCAUGUUAGUCUCUUAAAAAAGAAUUUGAUCACUUGUCUUGCUAUUUGUUUAUAUGUUGAAGCAAAAUUUACGAUUAAGUUACGAAUGCUUAUCUAAGACCCUAAAACAUGGUUACUGCCAACACAAACUAACAUAUUCAAAAGAGCAUAUCAAAUGGUAGCUGCACAUUAGAAUUUGAGGGCUGAUCUACUUGUAAAUUUCAGUUCACUAAGUAUUCAAAUCCCUAGUAUUUUGGAAAAAUGCAUCUGAAAAGCCAAGAAUAAAAACCUAUCAAAAAACUUGAUAGAAGGAGAGGGCAAUGACCUCAAAAUAAGGGUAGAAUCCCACUCUCACCAUUGACUGAACUCUUGGGAUAGUAGAUUCUCACUGAGCUUUCUACUUUGUGACUGCUACUCCAUAUUCAACCUCCAUUCUGCAAAUUCAUGAGCGACUUUCAUAUGUUCUUGCUGCAGAGAAUAAUUGAGUUUAUAGUUAAAAUCAGAGUGACCAAGAAGUCGAUAAGGACAACAUAAUAAUUUUCUAAUGAAAAAAGGAUGUUUACCUUAGCAUUUUACUCUCAGAGGGAUCCUUUUCCUCCAUAAUUUGGAGAAGACCUUGCCACCAAACCAGCUCAGUUGCCAUUAGCUACAGUAACAGAAUCACAUUCCAAUGCUCCCAAUUCUAAGCAGAUGUUAAUGGAUAAAAGCAGUCGUCCACCAGCACUGACAAACAUGCAUACAAAUAGAAUAAGGGCAAGAAAAAAAAAGUCAAACAGCGAAUUCCAGCCAUCACAUUCUUAAACUCCCUUUUAACAAAAUGACCACCUUUUCCCCUCAAUCAAUACCUAAGACCAAAAUCAUGUAAUUUUCUACGGUAUGUGAUACCACCACAAAACAUAAAUCUAAAUACCUUGAUGUCAAUAUAAGCUACUGUUCAAUAAAUGAGGCUGCAGCUGCCAACCGAAAUAGAACCAACCACACAGCAAGUAGCAUACCAACAAAUACUACAAUCACAGGCACACAAAUUAAAAAUUCAUAAAACAUAAAUAUCCUUUAGGUAACCAAACAUGAAAUACAAAUGUCACAAAACAGAGAUUUAGGAUCAUUGCCAGAAACAAAAAUCAUGUAAAAAACAAUCACAGAACACAACUUGCAGACAGAAUACCAACACAUACAACAGAUGGAUCGCAUCUUUUAGGAUCCUCAACAUGUAUAACCCAAUUUAUCAUUACCCAGAAACAAAAAGCGUCACUGCACCGUACCACCACAACAGUUAAUAGCUACAAAAACCUUUAGGUUCUAAUAAGCCAAUUUUGUUCUCAAUAGACAAUUAGAACAUGACGUCGCUAUGCUUCCAUAGUUCCAAAUGCAUAAAGUAUGCCAGGAGAACAUCCCAACUUGAAUUUUGUGGCCACAAAAUUUAGCGAAGAGAAAAAACUGCUAGCUUUCUAUAUACACACACACAACAUCAGGUUAUGCAUAUAAUCGCUUGCCAAUCAAAAAUUGUAGAAGAAAUUUUGCUAAAAUUGUAAGGAGGUGUGUAUGCCUUAGUAUAAUAAGGAACCCGACACACUUGACCAUAAAGCAUAAGCUCACAUCAGAUUCCAGAAACGCAAACAAUCCAUUGACAGAACAAUUGUUAUAUAAAUGUACAAAGAUAUCACCCACUGCUGAAAAGAUAACAACUGAACUUUGGUAUUAUAUUCAAUAUUUGAAUGUACUGGCAACUUCACAUGCAUCCCAUCUCUUUUCAUUUCAUUGUUAACCUUUAAUUUCCUACAAACCAUGAAACCAUAACGAAAGCAUGGAUGGUAGCAAAAUAACUUAUUGAUGAGCACCGAAGAUCAGAUGCUCACCACGAUUUAUCUAGCUUAUCGAAGAAGUACAAACCUUCCAGAUCAGUAAUACACACAUAGAAGAAUAACUCCACAAAAUUUCAAGUCAAAACGGAUUCUUACAUCCUAAUCAAACUCGAGUUCAAAACAGCAACACUGCAUAACAUAGACACAAUUUCAGCAUAGAGCACUCAACUUCAGAAAAUCACUACAAAGCGCCUACCCUAUCAAAUAGUAUCAAACUUUCUAGAUCAAGAGUUCACAUAUGGAAGAAAAAGAGUACAAAGUUUCAGAGCAAAUGGAGUCCUAAAUCUUGAUCAAAAUCAGACUCAAAAACAGCUGCACACAUAACACGAAUACAAUUUCAAACAUGUGAACAAAGUACAAUGAAGAAAGAUGUAUACACUGUUCCUUGUCCAACCCAUUUUGCCCCGCAGCAUAAUAGGAAAGCCAUGUGCAGUACUUUUUAGUUUGGAUAAGUUUAUGCCACACAUCAUAAUCCUUUUAUUUUAAGGAUCCUCUUCAUCGAUGUAGAAUCAUGUAUCAAUUCAAUCCAAUUCGAUCAAUUCAAUCUUAUUAGUGUUUAACAUGCAUCCACAUCCACAUCAAAGCCAAAAAUUGAAACCUUGAAAUGAAUAAUGAACCCCUCCUCUUCAUUGAUGUAGAAUCGUUGAGCUUCUGAAGCUCAUAACCUGCAAAAUCACCUUGUUCUUGUUGCCAAACCCAAAUUAAUUUUCAUCAGUCCCUCUCUAUCAGUAAGACACCGUAGUGGAAAGAAAAACAGUCGCACAGUGCGACGAAAAAUAGUAUGUUAAAUCCUCAUUGGACUAAUUGGAUAUGGUCAACUUAACCUUUUGGAUCAGAAUACAAAUAGAACACAAAAACCAUGGGUCGGUGGUAUUGUAAAUUGAAAGAAAAUAGAGGGGUAUAUAAGUCAAAGUGGGGGUGAAUAAGUACCCAAUGUAUCUAACCAUCCAUCCAUCCAAACCAUUAUUUUUUCUCUCUCUAAAAAUAUCUGGUUUUCUCUCUCUAGAGAGGUCUCUGUAAAUCGUCUGAAUCAAAAAGAUCAAAUCUUUGGGUUUAGUUUUUUUUUUUUUUUUCGCGGGAAGAGAUGUCAGGUAAAGGCGCCAAGGGUUUGAUUCAUGGCAAAGGAGCCAGCAACAGCAAAGAUAAGGACAAGAAGAAACCCACCUCCCGAUCCUCACGAGCUGGCCUUCAGGUGAUUACCUUUGCUUCUUUGUUCUUGUUUUUUCUUGAUUUUGGGAUUUUAGGGUUUCGAAUUUGAUUGUUGAGGUUGAGUUUGGGGGGUUUAAUUUGGUAAAGAUUGGAACUUUUUUUGGUUUUGGUAUUGGGUUUUGGUUUGUUUUGGUGAUGAGAAAGCGAAUUAGAAUACCCACAUGGGUUUGGGAACUUAAAAGAUUUAGUUUUUACGGAUGAAUAAUAGUUGUUGAAUUGAGAGUUGAUUUGGAUCGUUUUGGAAGGGCAUGAUUUUGUGUUUUUUCCUUAAACCAUGUUUGUUAGGAGAACCAUAAUCCGAUUGAAGAGUUUGAACUUGAUAGAGAUUUGAUAGAUAGAUACAUUGGAGGGGUGAAUUUUGAAGUUUGAAGUGUCUCGCUCCUCUGGAACAUGCUCUAUUCUAGAUUGUUGUUUACAUUAUGAAUUUUCAGGGUAUAACUGUUUCGAUAAGAUUGUGGAUGUCUAGAAGACUAGAAUAGACUAUGCUUGCUCUAUGUGUCUUGGUAAACAUGAUUGAGUCUUCCUACUCAUAGUAAACAGUUUAAAGUUUCUAAAAGUCCUACCUGAAUCUGUUAGAGAAGUACCAGCUAUACAAUAGAAAUAAUUUCGGUAUAUGAUGUUGAUUACAUAAGUUGUUGGAAUGAUGAUAAACCUACUUAUUUAUAUGAUGUUAGAGACGGAGGAUCCUAAUUAGAUACCUGCAAUCUCCCAAUUAUUAACUUUCAUGAAUAGACUCUCUAGUGGUGAGGGAACGAAGGGUUUGAAUGUAAGAAAGUAGAAACUUCUUAAGACUUUCAUUUAAAAACAUAGCUUCAGCCGUAUGUUAUGAACUUCCAAAGUGUUUCUCUGUCUCACUUUUUGUCCAUUAUUUUCAAGUCAGUUUAUGGACUAUACUAGAGUUGUUGAAUUUCUGCCAUCUACUAAUUCUGUGGUGACAAAUUUCUAGUUCCCGGUGGGUCGUAUCCACCGUCUCCUGAAGCAAAGGACCACAGCUAAUGGGAGAGUGGGAGCGACUGCUGCAGUUUAUUCUGCAGCUAUCUUGGAGUAUCUAACUGCUGAAGUUUUAGAGUUGGCAGGCAAUGCCAGCAAAGAUCUGAAGGUGAAGCGUAUCACUCCCAGGCAUUUGCAGCUUGCAAUCCGUGGUGACGAAGAACUUGAUACUCUGAUAAAAGGUACCAUUGCUGGUGGAGGUGUCAUCCCUCACAUUCACAAGUCACUUAUCAACAAGUCCACCAAGGAGUAAUGAUGAGGGCCAAAAUUCUAUGAGGAGACUCUCCUUUGUGACUUAGGAUCAUGUGUUUUAGUAAUUCGUUAUUUUGCUAGUUAAUUUUCAUGUCUGAUAGUAUUUGUAAUGGAUAAUGGGAUCAGAAACUCUUCUUUUUUAUUAUUAAUCUAGGCUUACUCUAGGAACCCUGUCAUAAUGUCGUAUUGCAUCCCUGGUAUUAAAGGCGUGUUUGAGCUACAAUUGUUGUUUUUCUACCAUUCUAUUUUACAUGAAUUCAGUUGAUGAUGGCAUAACUGCUCUCAAUCGAAGAUGCGGUUCUUUUUAUGCUGCAAGGUGAAAGGUCUAUCUUCAUGUUAUUGACAUAUGUUUACUCGAGUAGUUUCCAUGAAUCAUCAACAGCAGUCAUUUGUGAAAGAAGAUGGGAACAGGUUUUAGUUCCAACAACCUAUUAAAGAUCUGAAAGGCGCGAAUUCAAUUGAAUACUCAUAAAUCCAUGUCCUUCUCAAUAUUCACUGCACAUUCCUCUUAAUCAAUACAGAUAAACAACCAUUAGCAUUAGUAAAUAAGUGAAAAAUUUCCUGCACUCCAACCUAAAACCACCAAAUAAUCUGCGCUAGAAGCAAUGAAAGUCCUUCCUAGAACCUUAAACAUGGAAAAGAACGAAAACCAAUUCUAAACUUCUCAUUAAGAAAAAAUAUCUAGCAAAAGCCACCAAAAUGGUAGUGGCGUAAGAAUGGGGACGACCAACUUAGAAAUUUAGAAGGUUGUCACUCUUGGAACAUCAACUGGGAACUGAUCAAUUUCAGCCAUCCACGGGCUCUUUUCCUUGGCAGGAUCUAUAGUCUUGAGAGCUUUCCACACAGCACUGUUACACUUGAAUCCCGACCCGAAAGCUAUCUGCCAUGUUCUAUCUCCUUUCUUAAUCCUUCCCUUUGCUUCUGUGUAAGCUAACUCAUACCAGAGAGAACUGCUUGAGGUGUUUCCAAAUCGGUAUAGUGUCAUCCUUGAUGGCUCCAUAUGCCAAUCAGACAGAUGCAGGUUCUUCUCCAAUUCAUCCAAGACGGCUCUUCCCCCAGCAUGAAUGCAGAAAUGGUCAAAAGCAAGUCUGAAAUCUGGGAUGUAAGGUUUGAUCUUCAUCUUGAACAGUUUCCUACCCACCAAUGUAGCAAAGAAAAGCAGCUGCUCGGACAUUGGAAGAACAAGAGGCCCCAGUGUGGUGAUAUUGGUCUUCAAAGCAUCACCUGCUACAGCCAUCAGGUCCUUCGAUAGUGUGACACCAAUAUGCCCAGCAUCAUCUUCUUCUUGAGUAACACAGCUAAAGCACUUGUCAUCAGCACCCUUGUGCGUGCGGACAGUAUGGACUAAUUGGUACUUGGACCUCCUUCUGUCUGAGUUUUUGUUUGAAAGAAGUAUAGCAGCCCCUCCCAUCCGGAAUAAGCAAUUUGAAACAAGCUUUGAACGAUCAUUGCCAAAGUACCAGUUCAAUGUAAUGUUCUCCAUGCUGAUAACCAGCGCAUAAGAGUUAGGAUGCACCUGAAGAAGCUUUUGAGCAAGAUCAAUUGAGAUGAGCCCCGCGCUACAUCCCAUUCCACCAAGAUUGUAGCUGACUAUAUUCCCUCGAAGCUGGUAAUGAUUGAUAACCAUGGCAGAAAGAGAUGGAGUUGGAUUGAACAAGCUGCAGUUGACAAUCAAGAUUCCGAUGUCCUUGGGUUUUACAGAUGUCUUGGCAAAUAGCUCGUCAAUGGCACCAUACAUCACUGCCUCAGCUUCUUUCCUGGCUUCUUUCAUUGACGGAUUUGGGGGAAUGUUAAGUACAGCCUCUGGAAGGUAUGUUGAAUCACCAAGGCCGGAUCUCUCAAGGAUCCUUCUCUGGAACUGUAGAUUCUCUUCUGUGAAUGUACCAGUCAUCGUAGACUGAUCCAUGAAAAUCUUUUUCGUGCAUUUUCGAGUUUCUUCUGGCUUGUAACAAGAAAAGUUAACAAGGUACACAGGGCGAGGGCGGGUAAGAAAGUAUACAGUGGAUAGGAACACCAGGAGGGUCGAGCAGAUGAUCACCGAAAUCAGGUUGUAUUGGAGAUGCUCCCAUAGAUCAUAUAGAUCUUGGAGCGAAAAUGUGGAGAGCUGGGCAGCAAUAACAAUGACAAGAGGGGAAAGGAAAAGGUACAUUCCAUGGGUGAUGAGAAUAUGGUAACCAAGCUUCACAUAUUUUAGCUUAAUGGAUUUUUUGAAGUCGGGGAGGUUCCUAUUGUUUGAGGGUCUAGAUGAUGGUGGGAUCAAUGGUGUAUCUGGUUUUGGUUCCGCCAUAUUUCCCUGAUAAACAUACAACACCUCUAAUCAGAUCAAAUGCACAACAAAAUCAUAAACCAAUGUAUUAAUAGAAAAUUAUAAUCACAGAAGAUGAACUACCAGAGACUAAAAAUUAAAUUAGUAAAGGGUGGUUUUCCAGAACAUAAAGGCAAAUUCCAAUAGCUUUUCAAUUGGCAUCCAACCAGAAAUGACUCUUGGAAAGCCAAUGGAGCUUUUCAAAAAAGAAGGUUGUCUAUUAUUUACAGCUACAUAUCACACUGAGAUAAUGAAAAGGCAGAAAGAACACCUAAUGGUCCCAAUCCAAGCACCAAUUCAAAAAUGGUGGAACAGAACAAAAGCUACACACUUUGAUCCUUACAAGUUGGAGCCAAAGUGCUAAACACAAUCCAAACACAACCCCAGAUCAGAUUUUUCCAAUAAAGAACACUUCUUUCCAAACAAAUCAGCAGAUUAACAAACAAUGUUACACAACCCUUAUAAACACUCACACAAAGAACCAAACUUUAUCACAGAAACCAUACAAAUUCACACAUCCAAGAACAGAUCAAACCUCCCAAGAUACAAAACAGAACGUUAUAGAAAAAAGCUGCAAGCUUUGAUAAUGAGGCAAAACCCAGAUCGAAGACUGACCUUGGUUGCCGAAACCCACCACCAGAUCUCACAGGAAUGUCGUCGUCGCCAGCCAAAGACAACCGGAGAGAAACAGGGCAAAAGGGAAUAUGGGAGAGGUUCAAAGUUUGAAGUGAGAUUAUAUUAGAGCUAAAAAUAGGGANNNNNNNNNNNNNNNNNNNNGGCAAAUGCAUUUGCAAUUUUGGGUUUUAGAUAUUUUCUUUCUUCUAUUUUGUGUGUGUUUUCAUUGCUUUUUUCUCAUUUAAGAGGUUGAGAAUAAAGAUGUAGGAAAUCAUUCUAGUGAAGACCCUUAAGUUGAGGAUUUGGUGAGGGCUUUUCGGUUUAUGGUUUAAAAUACCCAAUUUUCGAUCACAUGUUGACAUCUUAUCUGUUCAGUUUUUAGGUUUAUAUGAGUAGAUCAUUUCUACAAAUUUUCACCCAAAUUGGUGUUCAUUAAGAUAACAAACUAGAUCAAAUUAAUGGACGAACCAAAUCUGCCAAAUAUGAACCGUUCAAGUUCAUAAUUGAUAAAUCACACUUAUGAAUGUCUUAACAAUUUUCAAUAUAGCUGAAAAUUUGAAGAAAUGAUAUACUCAUAAAUACCUAUAAACUGAACGGUCAAUAUGUAGAUAUAAGAUCGAAAUGUGGGAUAAACCGAAAAGUCUUUACCAAGUCCUCAACUUAAGGGUCCUCACUAGAAGGGCUCCCUAAAGAUGUAUACCAAAAAGAUAUCAACUUCCAAGUCUGUGUACAUGAAUCAUGUGCCAAUAUUUGUGUGAUAUACAUCUUAUCGGGUUGCAUUAGCUUUCAAGGUCUCUAUGGAUUGUGAAUCGAAAUUUACUCUUAUACAGUUAGUUGUUAGAGUUUAUUGUCUCAUGAAAAUUGUAGCGUUCGAAAAGAUACCAUAAUUUCAUGUCUAGACCCGUUUGGAGAUUUACUACUAUGAAACUCGCAUUCAUCCAAAGUACAGAAAACUAAAAUUUAGAAAGAAAAAAAAAACACCCUCUAGCCUCUGGUUUAUAUGUGGAAAUAAUACCUCCAAUAUUCUUCCCUUUAAUUUUGCUUUUCAAAAUCAAGGUGACAAUACAAAUGGCAUGAUGAUUGGAAAAGAAAAUGUCAAAUUAUUCCCUCUUUGAAUAUGACAAGUGAGAUUGAAGAAGAGUAUAGUGAAAUACAACAAAAUCGAGCCGCCCAUUACAGUUAAGGAGCCGUCAAGAACAAAGCCAGAAGGCUUAUAUUAUAUUUGACUGGUAUACAAUUCAGUGAAUUGGUAAUGUUGUAUAGGGCAGGCAAUUUGAGGAGGGACCAAGCACGAGGUUGAUGACCAGUUGUUCACAUGGAUAUAAAGGUUACAACUCUGUCACUGUCCCUAUUGUCAGCUGCGCUGGCUCCACAUGCUAUGCUGUUCUUCAACUCAAUCCAUGAGCUAUAUCAUCUUCUAAUAACAGAAACAACAAACCAACUUCAACAAUGAAGAAAUUUCCAAGUCUGUCUGUUUAGCAAGAUUUGACAAACUGUUUUAUGAGGAAAUGGUGAGGGUGAGAUGGAAUCUGGGAGAGUUGAAAAGGAAAUGUUGCCAACAAAUUUAUCUUGUGGGGUUAAGUUGGCAUCAACCAUCAAGCAUAAUUCCACCUUUGAUCAAACUUGGUUAAAGAAAAGCAAACUCUAAUACAGGAAAAGAAAUCUUACAGUAGUAACUUGCUGUUGGAGAACAAUGAUAUGAGGGAAAGUUAGUUGAACAAUAGGCAAUGUUGAACAUGCUACUCCAAUGUGAAUUCCUCCAGCCAUAUCAGCACUUCAUUUCUCUAAAAUGCAGUCAGCACCAAAACAACACAAAAGAUCAACCGUUAGAGUGAAGAAAGCAAAAUUCGGUAGGAUUUGGCAAAAAGAGGACUAACAGUACAAAUAAAAGCUUAAUGAUCAAGAUUACUUGCUACUGGUUUUGCUUUGUCUAGAAGGCAGUAGAAGUAACAGCUACCAAGACUACUACAACUAGGGCUAGUAAUCAGGCCAAAGUCGAGUUCAACUUUUCUUGAAAGAGGGUUGCUUGCAGUACUCAUAGACCUUCAAUAUGUGAAAGGGUAGAUAUAUAUCUUGUAACUUAUUAGAUGAAGUUUCAACAGUUGAAAUUUUCUUAGUUGAGGUUUUCUUGAAAACAGGUUUUCUUGCAGUUAUUCCAGAGCUUCAAUGUCAAAGGUAGCUAGAUAUCUUCCAACUUCUUGGAUGAAGUUCCUAUAGUUGGAAUUUUCUUUGGUGAAGAAUUUUCCAUCUUGAAGUUUUCUUUGAUGAAGUUUUCUCCAUAUAUCAUAUAAAAUUAGAGAUAUAUAAGAACACAUUAUCAGACUGGUCACUGAUGUUACAUACCAUUAUAAAGCUCCAAGUUCGGCCAGGGUCAUUGUAACGAGCAAGCAUACACCCGGCCUUAGGUUUGAGACCAUCUCUGAUAAGACUAGCACGCAGCAAAUUCUCCUUUUCACGAACAACAUCUUCGGUAGGCUUCCCACUAAACUUGAUAACAGCAGCAAUGCCUUCUUCCAUUUUUUUCAAGCUAAUUGUUUCUGCAUUAGGAUCUGGUAAACUGGCCACAUCACAUUUUUCUUAUUAAUAUAUAACUCUUCACAAGGACAAAUGUAAGUACGAUAUAUAUCUAACAUCUAUUAAUUCUCCACCUGCUUAAAUCCUUGUCAAGUGGAAGACAUACUUUGAUGGAUACUUUGGAAAAUUCAGCAUCAGAUGCCUCAGUGAACACCGGAGUUGUCAUUGGUAUCUUUUCCAUUUUUGAGUUCUUUCCAAAGAUGUACCUAAGCAAAUCCCAUUUCCAUAUCACAAAAAGAAACAAAAUUUUUUUUUUUUAAAGAAAAUAUAUUUAUAGCACAUGAUUAGCUAAGCUGUAAUGCAAGCACUCACCCAGUAACAUCAUUGAAACCAGCUGAUCCAGACAGCUUGUCUGCACUUCCUUCUACCACUAUAAAAGGGGAGUACUUUCUUACCUGUAGAAUCAAUCCAGGAAUCACCAACAAAACAGUAAAACCAUCCAAUCAAAUAGAGUUACAGAAGAAAACAAAAACCUUCAAAUGUAAUGCAUUUCAUUCAUGAUUCAUCAACUUUAGAGAAUGAAGUCUAAAAGCCCAACUUUUAAUGAAUGCAACAUUAGCCAUUCACUAAGGAGAACACACCUCAUAAUUUGCUGUUCUCUUUAGUAUGUCAUAUUUUGGUGUUUCCAAGUCUGGAGUUUUGUAAAUCCUCAGCUGCAGGGUUUUACAUACAAGAAGAGACUAAGGCAAGAAAGAAUCUUUAUACAUGAUAAUGGAAAGUGUAUAAUGAGUCUGCCAAUACCUGCUUGAAUACAUCUAACAAACCUUCUACAGAAAAAUAGUCAUUCUUCUUAAUGGAAUCCCAGAAGUCCUACAUGUACAUUACAGCAGAUACAUGAACAAUUUUAGAAAUUACGCUGUAUCAUCUACAUUGUACUAUAAAGAGUCAUGAGGUGAAUGAUUGUUACCACAUGGCUGCAGAACUUCCCAGUUUCGGGGUUGAUUCCCAUAACAGAAGUACCAGUGAAGAUCAAUUCUGGUUUCCAAGGCAGAGGGACGAACUUCAUAACCAUAGUCCACCUUGUAGUGAUUUCAUAUGGUCCUGACUAUAUAGCAUCUUAAUCAGUAACUUAAGACAGUCCCACUCCAAUUUCAAGUGGACAUCCACAUGAAUAUGCACAGAUUGAAAACUUUAAACUAAAAGUUUGAGUCUGCACUCAAAUUUUAUUUCCUCAUAUUCAACAUAGUCACAUUAACCUCAUCCAACAUAUAUAUGCAGCUAUGCAUCAUCCAAAAUUCUAAGUUACAUAAUUUCAUUCUAUGAAAAUCAUUGAACUGCACCCAGUUAAAUUCUUAUAUUUAAUUACUCAAUGCCUAAAAUUCCCAAUAUUCUAGUAGUUAAUCUAAUAAGGGAAAGAACACAGGUCCUUUAAACAGUUACCUGUUUUACCCAGUGCAACUGGAACUUGGGAGUGAAGACUGUCUUCAAGAAGGCAAUGUUCAACAAAUAGCCAGUUAUAGAAUCAUGCUUGGUGAUUGGAUCCCUGAACUUCACACGUUCAUCAUACGCCGUCCGAUCAAUUCCUUGAUCAUCAAACAAGUGAACUAAAUCCUGGUACAGAAAAUCGACCACCCUUUCCAUGUCGACGGUUGAUUUUGGCGGGCUUUGGUCUACUAAGCUAAGUCUAACAGCCCACUUUGAGUAGUUUUGCCUUGUUUGAAGCCCCAAGUGUUUGUGUUUCAAGGCUUUGGAACGUGGAUGGCAUGGUAGUUUAUUCGCUUUGGUGGUGCUCAGCCGCCGUAAACUGACGCACACGGCGGGGAUAGGCCUGAAAACUUGGUCGGAAAGCUGUGUGCUAGCCAUUUGGUGGUUGUGGUGGGCGUGUGACUGUGUUGGCUUGGUGCGUGACCAUGCAUUGCUACUAUGAAACAACUUAGCCACAAGUAUUGAUUGGUUGGUGUUCGUUUCUGAAAUUAGUGGCUACAAUUUCUUCAUGUAAACAUAAUUGAAUAGUAGAACUCGUCGUUUGUAAAUACCUUAUGAAAAUGAUAAGGAGAAACACUAGUAUCAUUGUCCUGCAGAUAUGACUUUAAGCUAAAUUCUCCAUUCUAUGGUAGACUAGCACAGUAUUGCAGCACAAUUUCACACUCUCAGUACAAGACUUUACUGAUGAGAAACCCCUCUGUAUAUUUGGCCAUCCAUGAACUUCAAUAUCAUAACUAAUCCAAAACAUAAACACCAAAUAAGUGACCAUUUCCCAUCUCCUAAAUCACACAUUGUGCAGGAGAAAGAUGAAAUGAAGGGCAAGAUUCCUCCUGCCGUAAAUAAGUUGGAUAAGUGAGGGCAUCAAGGACUUUUUCAUUUGCUAAGAAAUUAAAAUGUAGCUGGCUUAGUAUAGAACCCUCUUGUUUCCCAGGGUUCUGACAGGAAUCACAGGAUUAAAUGGCAACAGCCCUCCCUCAGUCUCCCACUCUCAAGACUCCUCUUUCAGGAUGUGUGACGACGAGUGCUAUGAAGGUAAGUCUCUCUUGACCUCUGCAUCCACCUCUAAGCUUGGUUUGUCCAUUUCUAAUGUCAUCACAAAAUGGCUCGAAUCCCUACCCGAAGAAAUCAUACCCAACAUCCUAAUCACACUACCUGUCAAAUCCCUCAUCAGAUUCACCUCUGUCUGUAAAUCUUGGGAGUCCACCAUCAAAAACCCAAAAUUUAUCCACACCCACCUCACCCACACUCUCAAUUCCAAUGACCAAAACGACACCCACCUCAUUCUCUUCCACGAUGUUCAUAGUAAACAUUUCUGUCACUAUCCUAAGUACAAGAAGCCUCUUUCUCUCUGCAUUAUGAUUACACUGCUGCUGUUACUGAGUAUUGCAAGAUUGAGUUUCCAGUAGCUAUCAAGGAAGCAGUCAUGAAUGCUUUUCGUGUUGUGGGUACUUGUAAUGGGCUGGUUUUGCUGGCUGAUGAUUUGGAGGAUUACGGUUACACCUUUGUUGUAUGGAACCCUAGUAUAAGAAGGUAUGUGACCCUUCCCAAGUCCACUAUGAGGUUUUCGAGGCAAGGUACGUAUGUUGGUCCGGUUGGUCUGGGUUAUGAUGCUGUUGGUAAUGACUAUAAGGUUGUGAGACUUACCACCCUUUUUAAGAAAGAGAAUCCUUGUCGGCCUGAUAUUUGGCCCACUUCAGUUGAGGUUUAUUCACUCGCCAAGGGCAUUUGGAGCACGGUCAGUCCUCCUCAAUGUAUUGUUCUUCAUUACUCCGCUGCUCAGGUUUUCGUCAAUGGGGCACUUCACUGGAUGGCUAAGCAUUGCCAUUGGAUAGAUGAGAUGGUACAUAUAGACUCUUUCAUUUUGACAUUUGAUGUGGCUGCUGAGUCAUUUGGAGAGAUAAUGUUGCCCAAGGGCUUCGAAUCAGAGGAGGCACAGUUGUCUACGUUGUCUGAUUCUGGAGAUAGAAAUUCUAUUGCUCUGUUUGUGAGGAAUGAGGUUCCGGGUGCUUUUGGUCUUGAAUAUUGGGUAAUGAAAGAGUACAGUGAGGAGAAAUCAUGGACAAAGUUGAUGGUUUUUGGUCCACAUGAUCGGUGGAUAAAUGUACCCAGGGUAUUGUGUUUUAGGAGGAGUGGUGAAGUGAUGUUGUUACUUAAGGAUGGCCAUACAGUUUCACUUGACAUUGUGAGCGAAGAAUUUAAACAUCUAGGGAUGUAUGGAGGGGACCUUAGCUCUGUUCACUCUUAUGAAGAGAGCCUUGUCUUGCUUGAAAGGAAAGAUGUUGUUUCUUACUGAGGCAAUGAACCAAGUAAGGUGAUUAUUUCUUGAACUUACCUUUGCUGAUAGCUUCUAAUUUUAAUGCAUAUGCUGCUAAUUGUAUAUGAUCUAUGACGAUUGGAUUUUACCUCAGCCACAAAGUUUGAUAUUGUGUAUGCUGAUUGCUUUGAUUGCUCUGUGCGUCAUGUAUUAUAUUUUUUCUUUGCCACAAGUUUGUUGUUCGUGUCUUUCUGGUGUUUCGUUAGGAACUUGCUAUAAUAUUGUUUUAAAUGUUUUCCUGUCUUAGCUAAUUGUCUUUCUUGUUCUGUCGUUUUGAGAACAGAGACUAGUAACCAAGUUGAUUAGAAAUCAAGCAAACCAACUUCAGAACAAUUCGCUGUACUUUAUGUUUGGAAAACAAGACUUAAAUGAGUAACUACUCAUAUCAUAUCAUUGCUUUCUCCGUGUUUUCUAUAAUAUCUGUUUGGUAUUACCUUAGACAGUAGAGUGUGGUCUCCAAGGAACUGUUGAGGCUACUGCAUUGUAUUUGAAAUUACAUGUUUUUAUUUGCUGUUGUUAACUGACCAUAUUAUCUCUGUCGAUGAUGUGUACUUGUCACUUUGAAUCGUUCCCAACCAACCAUAUUAUCUGGUCGAUUGAUUUGUUAGUUUUUGAUGACUACUUGUUACUUUUAAUAUGAAUAUGGCACAAAUCAUGCUAUUUGAUUUUCUAUUUGCAUAGGCAGCAUCAUAUGAAAGCUGAUGAAAUGUGGGAUACCAAAAUUAAGACCGAGUAAUAGUUGCAACUUUCUACUCUAAUUUCUGUAGAUUUUCUUUGUUUAUCAAUAUUUGGAUUGAAUUUCCAUGGCAUUAUCUUUUUCUUUUCUGGGUUGAAUUACCUCCGUUUUACAUUACAUGCCUUGGCAAUCUUGAGCUGAUUAUCAUCCUACAUCUCUGUCAUCAACUGUGAACCACAUACUUUCCCUUCACUUCACUCUCUAGUCUCUAUGUUGUGUUAAUACAAAUAUCUGAACAAAGCGUUGAAAAGUGUUCUACUACCACUUCCGGUGCGUUCAUGCAGCAUCCCUUUUGGGACUCCAUAGCAUUUGGGACUCCAUUUGUAUAAUAUAACUUGCUGAAGCAUUUAUUCAAUUGUGUGCAGGUCAGACAUUGGGACACAUGACUUUCAAGACUGUUUUUUGUAGCUGUGAAGUGUGAGAAUCUGAUGCAUGGGUUUGCAAUUUCAGUCACUCCAUCUACCGACUGAACUUUUGAAGUGCAUCUAUAUAGGAUAUGUAGUCCCAUCUAGUAUGGGUAUGUAAUCCUAACAUGACUCGCUUCUAAUUUGGAUCUUCCAUCAGACUUAUCAGUAGUUAUUAGUAUUCUCGUGUGUAACAAUAUUUCAACUGAAUAGAUUACCCUCUAUCUUAAUCGUUUACGCGAUCUCUUGUGGUUUUUCUUAACCGCAUCCAAAGCUUGAUGCUUACAAGCUUUGGAAUAUGGAGAAUGGCCUAAAUUUGCCUUUGCUACUUGUGAAUUCUUUCAUGCUUGUGUCUUUGCUAUUCCACAUUCUAUUGAAAGAUCCUUUAGACAUUGAGAACAGGUCAACUUGCGGAACAUGAUUCACCUUCGAUUAAUCAGGGAUGACACUAAGAAAUUGAUACUAGGAGAGAAAUUUGACAUAUGCUAAGUAUCAGAAGUCUCUCAAUAUACCCUGAAUUGAUUCCCUCAAAGAUUGAUGUGAAAUUGAAAGAAAGAACCAGUAUCAUACUCACUUCAAGCUAAUUUCUCCAAUCUAUGCUAGACUAGCACAUUCUUGCAGCACAAUUCCACACUCUAGCACACGACUUCACUGAUGAGAAACGCGCCAAGCAUAUCAUCAUUCCCCUAUAUACACACUUCAAUAUCCCAACAAGGCUGUUGUAUUGCCAAGUUGGGCUCUUUCAUUACGGACUUUGGUGGUGGUUCAACGGGGCCGUGACUGGAGUAAAGCCCAUAUGCAUUGCAAAUUGCUUUUCGGCUAUGAGACAUCUUACCCACAAGUUGAUUGGUUGGUGUUCAUUUCUGUUUACAUCCUUAAAUAUAUUAUGCAAAACUAUUAAGAUAAAGAUUUUAAACUAAAUAUUUCAAUACUAACCUCACAAUCAAGAAUUUUUGUGAAAAUAUAAUAUUAAACUAAAAUCAAUAAAAUCCAAACAACAACAAUUCUCUACAUCUUUACAUCAAAAAAAAAAAAACAAUUCUCUACAUCUUUUAAAUCAGAUUUGAGAAUAUACAAUGUGGUGGGAUUGUUCGUUCUUAUUUUUAUUUUAUUUAUGGCUUCAAAUGUAGUCUUUCAUAUAUAUAAUCGUAAAGAAGGAAGUCAAUAAAGAGAUCAAGGAGAAUAUAUAUAGGAUGUGGUUUGUGAAUAAAUAGAGGUAUGCGUUAAAUAUAUUGAUGAUAUAUUUUUAUAUUUUAUCAGAUUGAGGAAAAUAAAAUAAAGAAAAUAAAAACCAGAUUUUCUCUCAUAAUUUUGAGGGCAGAAUUAGAACGUUAAAGAUAAAAAAUAAGACGUGGGGUGAACUAAGCAUUUAGUGGGGUGGAAAUAGCCGCACCCUAAAAUAUUUGUAAAAAAUGUUCUAAAAGGUGCUAAAAACCAAGAAUAAGAAAACUCAUUAUUUGUAAAUUAAAGUGCAUAUCUUAAAUCAUUUUUGUCUAAGUAAAAGCAGGCAUGAAUCGAGAAUCUUAAACCACAAUAAUAUCAUACAACAAUUCUCAAAUAGAAAGAUCAUAGCCCCAUAAAUUACAAAAUUUGCUCACUCAUAUCCACCACUAAAGUAAUAUAUGUACAUUGCAUUUGUGUAGAGAACUACUAUAAAUUUAGGAAAAUUCAUACCUGUCCAAACUUUUUGACUGUUAUAUGUACACGUUUGUAAAACAUUGCCAUAUAAAGUGAACGUUGGACAUGCAUUAGAAAAACACAUUCUUCCACACUCUUGACACAAGUCGUCACUGACGAGAAACGCGCCAAGAAGCAUCAUCCCUCUAUAUAUAUGCCCAUCCAUGAACUUCAAUUCCAUAACCAAUCCAAAGCAUACACACCAAAGCUCCCAUUUCCCUCAUCUCCUAAUUCAGACUCUUCAUUUCAUAAGAAAACCCAUCAUCCAAAACCUCCAAAUCAACAGUCCAAACUAGAAGGAUGUCGAAAAUGUUUGCCCUUUCAAAGUUCGAGACUGCCUCAAUAUCAUGGUGGAAGAAGCAUGGAGAUGGAGACGACGACGGUGAUGAUGGAUACGACUAUGCCCCAGCGGCAUCAGCAUGCAUGGAAGGCGACAGCGAUGACGACGAUUCCGACUAUGAUUAUGCUCCGGCGGCCUCUACGGAAGGCGAUGACGACGACGAUGAUGGUGGUUAUGAUUAUGCUCCAGCUGCAUAAGAGCUGUGUAACUAGCAAUUCAGUCGAAAUUGCUUAUAUUAAUUCUUGAUAUGAGAUCGAGUGGCAUUUCUAUCACAGGGUUAUUUGCAAACCCCUAAGUAUUUUCUGACGGCCUUUGUAGCUCGUCAGAUGUUAUAGGGUAUUAUGUAUCAAUUUCUGAUCAGUAAACCUCUGAAUUAUGGUCCUCUACUACUCUAAUUUCGUUUUUUGUUUGAAACUCGAAGAUGCUAAUUAAGUAUUAACAUGAGCAAAUGUGGUUUGUGACACUGUUUCCUUUCAAUGAUCGAAGUCUGUAAUAGUUUCAAGCACACAAUAAGUCUCAUUUCCCUAUCUGCAAGUUUGCUUAAUUAGUGAAAUAGAAAUACUUUACAUGGAUGAUUUGAUCAUCACUUACUAAAUGAAACUACUUGACUAUCAAUUCGAGGAACCUGGAGAAACCAAAUUUGUUCAUAUGCUGUUGUUAUUUUCCAUCUUUCUUGUAAUGGCUCAGCUCACCCCGCACUUGCUUUAUCAUGAUAUUCUCUUCCUUUACCUUUUCAAUUAUAAUUCUAAUGUAUUUCUCUAAGUGGUCACUUUACUUAUCAUCUGCUAUAAACUAAAUUCAAACUUUCUGGGAUUGCUGACGAAGAGCUUAGUAUUCGACGAGCUACUAA
rnacentral:lncRNA from 1 species